GAUGAACGCUGGCGGCGUGCCUAAUACAUGCAAGUCGAGCGAACGGACGAGAAGCUUGCUUCUCUGAUGUUAGCGGCGGACGGGUGAGUAACACGUGGAUAACCUACCUAUAAGACUGGGAUAACUUCGGGAAACCGGAGCUAAUACCGGAUAAUAUUUUGAACCGCAUGGUUCAAAAGUGAAAGACGGUCUUGCUGUCACUUAUAGAUGGAUCCGCGCUGCAUUAGCUAGUUGGUAAGGUAACGGCUUACCAAGGCAACGAUGCAUAGCCGACCUGAGAGGGUGAUCGGCCACACUGGAACUGAGACACGGUCCAGACUCCUACGGGAGGCAGCAGUAGGGAAUCUUCCGCAAUGGGCGAAAGCCUGACGGAGCAACGCCGCGUGAGUGAUGAAGGUCUUCGGAUCGUAAAACUCUGUCAUUAGGGAAGAACAUAUGUGUAAGUAACUGUGCACAUCUUGACGGUACCUAAUCAGAAAGCCACGGCUAGCUACGUG
rnacentral:rRNA from 1 species